GGCGGGUUCACGGUUGGUCAUCUCCUUCCUCUUUCUUCUCGACGGCGACAAUGCCGGCUUUGAUGCUUGACUUCUACCUUGUUUUCGAAGAUGCUAGGAUUAGUGAAUUUGGAUUAUUCCGCUUGUUGUGAUGACCGGAAUAACUGAUCUCUGAUUGCUAUGGUAUGUGGUUUAUGCGUAUGUUAUGUUUUUUGUUGUGAUUGCUUGCAUAGUAUGUGUGAGGAAGGUUUAUGCUCUUUGUGUGUAUGUUCUGAUGGGAUUGUAUGGUGGAGAGGUAAAUGAGUGAUCUGAGUGUGAUGUAUACAUAGAUAAGGCAGAUGAGAAAACUCUGGAUGGAUGCUAUGGUGUGAUCUGAUUUCCCUCUUUAUAUUCCUCCCUAUAUGUGUACCUUAGAAUCAAUAACAAAUAUCUUUUUACCUCUAACAUAGGC